AAAAGCACCCCUCAAAGCUGGGGAAGAGAAAAUAUGGAGAAAGCCCUAAAUUCCUCAUUGAAGGCCAGUCUCGGAAGUGGAGGGGUUAUGAUCUGUGCUUCAGUCAAAGUCAUCAUUGUGCAGAGCCUUGCUGAUAUUCUGUGACAGACCCGAAUUUACUACACGUGCUCUGAAGCGAUCACCUUUUCUAGAGUUUCUUCUGCCUGCUUUCAAAUUGGAUGACAAGAAGCAAAGACCAACAGAUCCUCUAGACCAGUGUCAGAAAUGAGAGCGACCUUCGAGAGAAAACAUCCAGUUCCAGAGUGACCAGACUUUCAGGAUAGGAAAACUGAAAACAAAAUUCUGAGCUUGCUUUUAUUUUGCUAAGUAAGGAUGAAAAUUUUUUUCCACUUACUAUCACUAUUUCAUAAACGACAGGAUGUUUUAACACUGAAAACAAAGGUAGAAAGAAUCAACUUUUAAACUGAAUGGCUUCAACUCUACAAAAUACUGUAUUUGUUUUCUUCACCUCACAAUAGCCUGGUAUUUGACAACCACUGAUGUGGUCCAACCCCUUAUUAUAAGAUGAAGAAAAAAGUUCAUAGGAGGAAGUGUUUUGCCUGAGGUUACACCAGGCCAGCCUUUUCCUGGCUUUACAGGGACUAAUCACCCUUGGGUUCCAUAG
rnacentral:lncRNA from 10 species